AUUGAACGCUGGCGGCAUGCCUAACACAUGCAAGUCGAACGGCAGCACGUUUUAGUUUACUAGAAUGGUGGCGAGUGGCGCACGGGUGAGUAAUGCGUAGGAAUAUACCUUGAAGUGGGGGAUAACUUGGGGAAACUCAAGCUAAUACCGCAUAAUCUCUGAGGAGGAAAGCUGGGGACCUUUUGGCCUGGCGCUUUAAGAUUAGCCUGCGUCCGAUUAGCUAGUUGGUGGGGUAAGGGCCUACCAAGGCGACGAUCGGUAGCUGGUCUGAGAGGAUGGCCAGCCACACUGGGACUGAGACACGGCCCAGACUCCUACGGGAGGCAGCAGUGGGGAAUAUUGGACAAUGGGGGCAACCCUGAUCCAGCAAUGCCGCGUGUGUGAAGAAGGCCUGAGGGUUGUAAAGCACUUUCAGUGGGGAGGAGGAUUGACAGGUUAAGAGCUAGUUAAUUGGACGUUACCCACAGAAGAAGCACCGGCUAACUCCGUGCCAGCCGCCGCGGUAA
rnacentral:rRNA from 1 species